AUCGCUUCUCGGCCUUUUGGCUAAGAUCAAAGUGUAGUAUCUGUUCUUAUCAGCUUAAUAUCUGAUACGACAUCCAUAGGAUGUCAAGAUAUUAAACUAAUUUUUGCAGAUUGGCUUGUGGUUAGGAAUUUAUUCCGCCCUUGCCACGGGUUGGCCUGCUAUUGCACUACUUGCAGGAUCGGCCCAUAACAU
rnacentral:snRNA from 1 species